UACAGAGGUCUCGAGCGUUAGGCGGAAUCACUGGGCUUAAAGCGUGUGUAGGCGGACUGGUAAGUACCUUGUGAAAUCCCACGGCUCAACCGUGGAACUGCUUGGUAUACUGCUUGUCUUGUGCAACCUAGGGGCGAGCGGAACAGAUGGUGGAGCGGUGAAAUGCGUAGAUAUCAUCUGGAACGCCAAUGGUGAAAACAGCCCGCUGGGGGUUUGCAGACGCUGAGACACGAAAGCCAGGGGAGCAAAC
rnacentral:rRNA from 1 species